UCAACCAUGACCUUCAUCUCCAUCUUCAUCUGCACACUGGCUCUCUGUACUCAAGGAUCCAGAGGUCAGGUGACUGUGACUCAGAGUCCUGCAGUAAAACAUGUUGAUCCAGGAGCUUCAGUCACCAUCAACUGUAAAACCAGUUCUGAAGUUUACUAUGCUAGUUGGUGUAGCUGUUAUCUUUUAGCCUGGUAUCAGCAGAAACCUGGAGAAGCUCCUAAACUCCUGAUCUACUACACUAGCAGCAGAGCAUCAGGUAUUCCAGAUCGUUUCAGUGGCAGUGGAUCUGGAUCUGACUUCACUCUGACCAUCAGUAGAAUUGAGACUGGAGAUGCAGGAGAUUAUUACUGUCAGAGUUACCAUAAUGGUGCUGUCUUCACACAGUGUUAUAUGGUGGUACAAAAACCUGGGUGA